GCUUACAUACUUUCGUAUUAAAACCCUUACAGAAACACAAGCACUCAACUCCGGGCAUGACUUGAGGCAGCUUAAGAACGCUGGACACUGACAGACUUCCUUGUACCAGGUAACUCCUAAGUCUGCUUAUUUCUUAGAAGUUCUCUCUGGUCAAAUCGGUAAAAUUAACCAAGUAGCACGUCUAUUCAAUGAACAUUUCCGGUUCAAAUAAAGCGAAUUUGUGCAAUUGGGUUUUUCCAAUUUAAUGGGUAUCUUUCAAUUCGAUUUUAUAAGGUCUGUUGAGCUAUUUGCGUCUAAAAACGCCAAUCUGUUGGUGUUUUUAUUGGAUUUGUUCAGUACUUCUAGGUUACGGAGAUAAUGGGUCUAAUAGACUCGAACAAUGAACACUGUAGCUUUUUUUGGUGCAAGGAUGGUUCUCUAUAAGUUAUCGUUUAGCUCGUUCAUUUCGAGAAAAUUGUGUGACUAUAGUUUUGAUAGUGAUAGAAGUGAUAAUGGAUUUCAGUACGUUGAGGAACCCUUGAAGAGAGUGUGGGGAUAUUCAGAUUUUGAUUCUUCUGGAUAUGGAAGCCAUAAUGAGGAGCGAUUCUCCCUUAGGCAGCGUUUUUUUGAGAACGUGAGGAGCGAUGCAGCAAGAGUUCUUGAUAUUCUACGCCAAGAUGGCCUUGGCUUCGAUGCAAAAGCAGCUCUAAAUGAGUUGCAUAUAAAGGUAUCGGGGCUCCUUGUCAGGGAAGUCCUUGUGGGAAUUUUGAAGAACAUAAAUUAUGAGAAUAAGGAAAGGUCUGCUGUAUUAGGCUAUACUUUUUUCUUGUGGUCUGGUCAACAGGAAAAUUACAGGCAUACGGCAAAUACGUAUCAUUUGAUAAUGAAGAUAUUAGCAGAAUGUGAGGAGUUCAAGGCAAUGUGGAGAUUGCUUGAUGAGAUGGUUGAGAAUGGAUUCCCAACUACAGCACGGACAUUUAACAUAUUGAUCUGUACUUGUGGUGAGGCAGGAUUGGCUAGGAAAGUUGUGGAGAGGUUCAUUAAAUCAAAGAAAUUCAAUUAUAGGCCUUUCAAACAUUCUUACAACGCAAUCCUAUAUUCUCUUUUUGUGGUUCAUCACUACAAGUUGAUUGAGUGGGUACAUCAGCAAAUGCUAGUUGAGGGUCAUUCCCCAGAUAUUCUAACUUAUAAUAUUCUUAUGUAUGCAAAGUAUAGAUUGGGGAAGUUGGAUCAGUUUAAUAGAUUGCUUGAUGAAAUGGGCAGGAGUGGAUUUUCACCUGAUUUUCAUACUUAUAAUAUCCUUCUCCAUGUUCUUGGUAAAGGGGACAAGCCACUUGCUGCACUUAAUCUUCUGAAUCAUAUGAAGGAAAUCGGUUUUGAUCCCAGUGUUCUUCACUUCACUACUUUGAUUGAUGGAUUGAGCCGAGCUGGGAAUUUAGAAGCCUGCAAGUACUUCUUUGAUGAAAUGAUAAAAAAUGGAUGCAUGCCCGAUGUUGUUUGUUACACUGUGAUGAUCACUGGAUGCAUAGUGGGUGGUGCGCUUGAAAAGGCUCUGGCAUUGUUUGAUGAGAUGAUAGCAAUGGGCCAGUUACCAAACGUAUUUACCUAUAAUUCUGUGAUACGGGGGUUUUGUAUGGCAGGGAGGUUUGAGGAGGCCUGCUCCAUGCUCAAGGAAAUGGAAUCUAGAGGAUGUAAUCCUAAUUUUCUUGUGUACAGUACCCUAGUGAGCAAUUUGCGAAAUGCUGGAAAGCUUUCUGAAGCUCGUAAAGUAAUAAGACAGAUGAUAGAGAAAGGGCAUAAUGUCCAUCUAGUCUCAAAGUUCAAGGGAUAUAGGAGAUGAUGAAGUAAUAGACCGUCUACAAUGGAGAAUUUUAAUCUGUAACUUCGUCUACAAUGGAGAAUUUUAAUCUGUAACUUCACUGGUAUAAUACUCAUAGGUGGUUGACAUCUUGUACCUGCUGCCUUUAAUAGAUGUCCUGGAAAUUGAAAGGCUUCUUGCUUUUCUCCAGCAGCAAUUAGAGGUUUUUCAUUCUUCAACUUCAUGCCCAAUUCUUAGUGAGUGAUGGGAUUCUGUUCACUAGAUUAUGCUUACUUUUCCUUUCCUUUUUGGGCAUGGAGCCUACAUGCUUAGAAGAUUCAAGAACUGCAAGGGAAAAGUUCAACCGAAUGUUUAAGGAUGUGUUUUGCCAUUCCAUCAAUUUGAUAUCUCCCCUCUAACAGGAGCAAAAGUGCGCUGUUUGGUCGAUCUAUAGCAUGUGUCUCCUUUUAUCGCUGCUUGGCUGUCUAAGCAGGGCUAAGGAAUGGAAGAAAAAGUGACAAUAGAAAAGUUUGUGGUUGCGCCCUUGGAGGCAAGGUGCAGCAAUGUAUGGAUUAAGGGUUGCAAUGUCAUUGUAAUAAUAGCUGUUUCAGCAUUGGUUUUGCAGUUGCUAUUUGUCAGAGAGAUGGAAUGAGGAUGCACUAAAUGCCAAAUGGUGAUGAUGUUGGCACUGAGAACAGAGGCAUAGUGAAACUAAUUUAGAGAUCUUCGGUUCCUUUUCAUCUGAAGUCUGAACCACUUUGAAGGAAUUGCAUAGUGAAAAAGACUUUAGGCUUACGUAGAAGGUAGAAACUGAGAGCUUCUUGAUGGACAUCAAAGCUGAGGUUGUAAGCUUGUCCAGUUUAUGGUUUUGUUCUCGUAACCUUAAUAAAGUCUCUUAGAAGUCAGCAAACAUAUGCAGAUGGAUGCUCGUGGGAUUAGCAUCCCACUGUUUUUCUUUUCCUUUUCCACCAUGAUACUUUCUGCUGCUGUAAUUCUCUAUGGUGCUGUGUUGUGAUGUCAUUCUUUCCAAAGUCCAGCACUAUGAGCAUAGUUUCUGAGAACAGACUCACUAUCAGUGUUCAGGUUUUGCCAGCAUCAUCCAUAUGUAGCAAUGAGCAGCCCUACUUCAAUCUGUCUUUCACUUUGACCCUAAGUCCUUCAUCAACUUAUUCUUUUAUUAUGCAACAAGCUGUACACAAUGAAGACUUCCAGAAUCCAGAAUGACACCUUGAAUUUAAUUUUCAACAACUUUUCUGAUCUGUUGAGAAGCAGGAGAUUUUAUGUAUUGGAGAUCUGGCCCUAGUUAGAGGAGAAUGCUCAAGAUAUUGGUAAAACUUUAUUUACUGAAUACAACAUAAUACUUCUGAAGUGCGACGCUAAAUAUUCAAGUAGUACAUGCUUGACUUCAUUGUCCCCUAUUACUAAUAUCUGGUGCAGUCUUGAUAUCUUUUGCAUUUGUGAAACUAACAGACUAACCGACAGGCUUCAUAUGAUUGUAAACACCCUAUAGAGCUUAUCAAGUAACAUCACUUUGCAAAUUUAUCACCAUUAAGUGCAGCCUAAUAGAUAUGGCGAAGUGGAUAGUUCUAUGAUCUGCAAUUUGCUUGGCUUUGUCGGCCAUGAUUGCUCCAGGUAUUGGUAUUUGAUGAAUUUGUCAUUUUGUUUGGGGGAAUGGAAAUCCAAGGUCAGCAUGCUUUUCAUAAAGCUCACUGGCCAAGAGUUUGAAAAUGGGGGUUGCCAAUGCCGUGUCCAUGCUAGCCAUUAUCGUGAACUCCCAGCCAAGCAUUCUACUACCAUUCGAUGGCUUCUUUUCAAUUGUCAUGCUUAAUGGCCCACUACAUAUAAAGUUUUAGCCUAACAAAGACAAAUGCAAAUUCCUUUCUCUGCCCUUUUCAUAUUGAAAAUGGUUCUCCUUUCCUCGCUCUUGAUUUGAAUUGGAGAAGAGUUUAAUUCACUCCAUUUUUUAAAGUAUAUAAUAUUAUAUUAGCAUUUGGUCAUUAUAUUUAUUAAGAUGUUGAAUUUAUUCGUAUUAAAUAUGAUGUUUCACUGAAUGUUUAAGCAAUUGAGGUGAAUUUAUACAUUUUUUCUAGAUUUGGUCAAUCGACCAAUAAAUGUUGAAGUCAUGUUCAGUUUCAAUUUUAAUCAAAUUUGAUGAGUAUUAUUUUCUUUAAAUGAUUUUAACUUGUAAUCACAUCGAUUAGUUUCAAUAUAGUUCAAAAUUGAUUAAUUUUAGUUUAAUUUUAAUUUUGAUUUUGGAUAUACUGUGACCUGGAAUAUGCUGAAACUUCAGAAAUUAAUUAGGGCGAAUAGACUGGUGAUUUGUGAAUCUAAUGACUAACCAAAAAGCAGUAAAAUAUUAAAAUCAUCAUCACUAUUCACUUGUCAGAGCUAAGAUAUCUGGAAUUUUGAGUUGGUAAAGAUCUAGGAACAGCCUCCCGUUGGGUGGAUGGCUAUUGCAUGAGGCGACAUCUGCCUAAUUUGUUGCUUUCAAAUUGUACUAACUAGGAAAAAAAAAAAAAAGGAUGACGAAUAGCUUAUUAGAAUAUUGAUUGUGGUUUAAGUGACCUGACCUGAAAGAAGCUUCAGGAUAACAAGUGACGCAAUUGCUUAUUUCCUUUCUGGUGAGGAAUUCGUCGGUGCAUGCAGAAUUUUGUGUGCUUUCGUUUAGAAAGGACAGUGACCCCUUAACUAAUAGGAAUGGGAAACCCCUUAACUCUCUUUUCUAACCCCAUUUUUCAUUCGUUUUGUUACAUUUCUGCAAGACCCUCAAUGAAUUCUUUACAGUCAAUUCUAACCAAUUUAAAACGGACAAAAGGCCAAUUACAUUUCUUAGUUACAUUGCUGACAUUUUAAAAUUGAAAUUACAUUUGCUAGUUUAUUGCCAAAAAAAAAAAAAAAGUGAAAA